UACGGGGGGGGCAAGCGUUGUUCGGAAUUACUGGGCGUAAAGGGUUUGUAGGUGGCCUGCUAAGUCAGACGUGAAAUCCCUCAGCUUAACUGGGGAACUGCGUCUGAGACUGGUGGGCUCGAGGACAGGAGAGGAACGCGGAAUUCCAGGUGUAGCGGUGAAAUGCGUAGAUAUCUGGAGGAACACCGGUGGCGAAGGCGGCGUUCUGGACUGUUUCUGACACUGAAAAACGAAAGCCAGGGGAGCAAACGGG
rnacentral:rRNA from 2 species